rnacentral:sRNA from 1 species
GCUGCUGAAGAACCUAGAGUCUUAUGUAUUAUACAAGAUACUACUAAUUCAAAGACAGUGAAUGAACGGAUCACUUUAAAUUUACCAGCAUCUACUCCAGUCAGAAAGCUCUUUGAAGAUGUGGCCAACAAAGUAGGCUACAUAAAUGGAACCUUUGAUUUGGUGUGGGGAAAUGGAGUCAAUACUGCUGAUAUGGCACCACUGGAUCAUACCAGUGACAAGUCACUUCUUGAUGCUAAUUUUGAGCCAGGAAAGAAGAACUUUCUGCAUUUGACAGAUAAAGAUGGUGAACAACCUCAAAUACUGCUGGUAAGCUACUUAGAAAGCCCUGUAUUUAUAAUUUUUGUGCACUGUCACCUACUACUUGAGGAUGCAGUUUCCCAAAGGAAAUAAGAUGUGUUUUGUAAUUUGUGUAAUAAAUUAAUAUUUUUUCA